UGACACAGCUAAGACCCGAGAGUCUCUUUCAAGACACUGAAUUUGAGCAGAAACCAUAAGGAUAUUCAAAGGACCUGUGACUCUCAGGAAAUGCAUCAAAUGAGAGUGACAGGUGAAACCGUUUCAAGACAAUGGCAGGAAAAGCAUGCUGAAGAUUGAACCAAACCUUGGCUGGAAAUAUUUGAAGGGAUCUAGCCAGUCCACAAUGAAAGCUUCGUUGCCCCCCUGUGAGUCUUCUGGCAGAAAUGAUGGCGCCUGUAUCAUCACAUCACAUCGUGUUUAUACGAGGCUCUUCAAUUAAGUCUGCACCCAAAGAUUCAAUAAGAGAGGGGAUCCUGCCAGUCCAAAGUGAACUCCUGAUGGACAUUGAAGUACUCCUGCAGAGCUUGUAUCUUCGACCCCAUGCGCAUUAGAAACUCCACUGAGUGCUUUCCUUCACCAAGGCAGGACCCAGUGACUCAUUACUAUUGAUCGGUCAGGGGCAGGUCAUUUUUUGUUUCAUGUUUAUUCAUUUCUCCAUGGAUUACCAGCCAUAUAUAUGGACACAUGCUGUAUUCUCAAGAUCUAUGCUGUUUGGUAGGAAUAGAGAAAAUUAUAUGUUUAGUCUGUUUUCAAAUGGUAUGUCAAAUUUUCUCAUUGUUUAUCAGAAAUAUUCACUACCUUGGUUAUAUAUGAGCAUCAAUAGAUUUUUCUAUAUUUAGCGGUUGCAAAUGUAAAAUGUACGGUAAACUAUUUAUGUUCCUCAUAUUGUACUGUAUUUUUAGCAGAAAAAUACCGGCAGCUGUGGUUGCCAGGAAUUUACCGUAAAAUGUAUCUGGUCAAAAUAAAAUGCAGUAAUUUGUUAUACAAUUUCACUGUCUUUUUUACUGUCAAAGGUUUUAAUAAGGUUUAACAUAUUUCUGUUAUUUUUACAGUUAUUUACCAUAAUAGGGUCUAUCCUAUUACUGUUAAAUUAACAACAAAUUACUGUAUAUAUUAUUAUAUUAUAACUUUUUUUUUACUGC